rnacentral:lncRNA from 1 species
GAGGAUCCUCCGGCGCCUUCUUCGACCUCCGAAGAAGAAGAAGAGAACGAGGAGAACGAAGAGAACGAAGAGGAGGAGGAAGAGGAGGAGGAAUCGUCACCUGAAGAGUCGUCUGAAGAAGAGGAGGAAGGGGAAGAAAACAAAUCUACCGUUCUUACUCCUCCUCCUGCCGUUGACAAGAAGGCGUCUUCUAACAAGCUUGUAGCCACUACUCCUGCUAAGUCUACCCCUCAAUCUUCCUCUGAAGAUGAAGAGGAUGGAUCGGAAUCCGAGUCGGAAUCCGAUUCGCCGCCCAAAAGCCGUCGUUCCUCCCGCGGUGCGGACCCAACUAUAAAGCCAAUUGCAACAAAACCCAUGGAGGAAACUCCAAAAUCGAAGAAGGCAAGAUCCAAACCCGGAGUGUCUGUCACUCCUAGUCCUGUGAAAUCAAGUCCUGUUAAACCAUCGAACUCGAAGCGCCCGGGCGAGAUCGGGCUCGAGAGGAAGGAGUCGAAGAGGGCAAAGAAGAAGGAGCCGGAGGCGGAGGCGGAGGAGGAAGAAGAUGGAAAGAAGACUGGAGACGACUCGAAGAAGCAGAUGUUCCAGAGGAUAUGGAGCGAAGAAGAUGAGCUUGGCAUCUUGAAGGGUAUGAUCGAUUAUUCGGC